rnacentral:rRNA from 1 species
AUACGUAGGGAGCGAGCGUUGUCCGGAUUUACUGGGCGUAAAGCGCACGUAGGCGGCUUUGUAAGUUAGAGGUGAAAGCCUGGAGCUCAACUCCAGAAUUGCCUUUAAGACUGCAUCGCUUGAAUCCAGGAGAGGUGAGUGGAAUUCCGAGUGUAGAGGUGAAAUUCGUAGAUAUUCGGAAGAACACCAGUGGCGAAGGCGGCUCACUGGACUGGUAUUGACGCUGAGGUGCGAAAGCGUGGGAAGCAAACAGGAUUAGAUACCCUGGUAGUCCACGCCGUAAACGAUGAUAACUAGCUGUCCGGGGACUUGGUCUCUGGGUGGCGCAGCUAACGCAUUAAGUUAUCCGCCUGGGGAGUACGGCCGCAAGGUUAAA